UACGGAGGGUGCGAGCGUUGUCCGGAAUCAUUGGGCGUAAAGGGCGCGUAGGUGGCGGGACAAGCGUGCGGUGAAAGCCUGGGGCUCAACCCCGGGUCGGCCGUGCGAACUGUUUUGCUUGAGCACUGUAGAGGCAGGCGGAAUUCCGGGUGUAGCGGUGGAAUGCGUAGAGAUCGGGAAGAACAUCAGUGGCGAAGGCGGCCUGCUGGGCUGUUGCUGACGCUGAGGCGCGACAGCGUGGGGAGCAAACAGG
rnacentral:rRNA from 1 species